rnacentral:rRNA from 1 species
AUUGAACGCUGGCGGCAGGCCUAACACAUGCAAGUCGAGCGGAUGAAGGGAGCUUGCUCCUGGAUUCAGCGGCGGACGGGUGAGUAAUGCCUAGGAAUCUGCCUGGUAGUGGGGGAUAACGUCCGGAAACGGGCGCUAAUACCGCAUACGUCCUGAGGGAGAAAGAGGGGGAUCUUCGGACCUCACGCUAUCAGAUGAGCCUCGGUCGGAUUAGCUAGUUGGUGGGGUAAAGGCCUACCAAGGCGACGAUCCGUAACUGGUCUGAGAGGAUGAUCAGUCACACUGGAACUGAGACACGGUCCAGACUCCUACGGGAGGCAGCAGUGGGGAAUAUUGGACAAUGGGCGAAAGCCUGAUCCAGCCAUGCCGCGUGUGUGAAGAAGGUCUUCGGAUUGUAAAGCACUUUAAGUUGGGAGGAAGGGCAGUAAGUUAAUACCUUGCUGUUUUGACGUUACCAACAGAAUAAGCACCGGCUAACUUCGUG